rnacentral:rRNA from 1 species
UACAGAGGUCUCAAGCGUUGUUCGGAUUCAUUGGGCGUAAAGGGUGCGUAGGCGGCGCGGUAAGUCGGGUGUGAAAUCUCGGGGCUUAACCUGGGAAUGGCAUUUGGGACUGCAAGGCUCGAGUGCGGCAGAGGAGACUGGAAUUCCUGGUGUAGCAGUGAAAUGCGUAGAUAUCAGGAGGAACACCGAUGGCGAAGGCAGGUCUCUGGGCUGACACUGACGCUCAUGCACGAAAGCGUGGGGAGCAAACAGG